UCUAGAUGGGGAGUAGAGAAGGGAGACGAGUACCAGUGCAGACAGGGUAAGUUACAGCAGCAGGGGCUACGGCCUGUCCCAGACCUUCCUCUGUUAACCAGUUUUCCCAGGAAAAGAGGCCCAUCAAAUCCUGAAGGGAUCACUGUAGAACUCAAGAAACAAUGGAUCCGAACAGCACGAAAGGUGGACUAUAGUGAAGACCUAGUGUGCUGCCCAGAUUCCCCGCUUCAGGACUGAAGCACUCAUUUCCCAAGCUGCUGAGAAUGCGGACGGUGCUCUUCUGAGUCCCCUUGGGAGCUGCCUUUUCCCGAAAUCAGACACCUCACCCAAGAACAUGGCCCCUUUUUAGCCAAUGUGGGGCACCAAACCCCAGUAGCUCAAGAGUACAACCUACUUGGAAGUUCUGCCCCCAGUCUACUCAUGCCCAGUAAACAGCAUCUGAGAACACAA